UACGUAGGGUGCGAGCGUUAAUCGGAAUUACUGGGCGUAAAGCGUGCGCAGGCGGCGCGUUAAGACAGGUGUGAAAGCCCCGAGCUUAACUUGGGAAUUGCGCUUGUGACUGGCGUGCUGGAGUGUGGCAGAGGGAGGUGGAAUUCCACGUGUAGCAGUGAAAUGCGUAGAGAUGUGGAGGAACACCGAUGGCGAAGGCAGCCUCCUGGGCCAGCACUGACGCUCAUGCACGAAAGCGUAGGGGAGCGAAACAAGGAUUGAGAAACCCCGGUAACGG
rnacentral:rRNA from 1 species